CGAGCUAAUAGUUUAAAUAAAAUUUUGGCAUUGGAAGCUAAGGAUUGGAGUCUGCCUUCAUUGCUCGA
rnacentral:tRNA from 1 species